rnacentral:rRNA from 1 species
UAGGGAAUCUUCCACAAUGGACGCAAGUCUGAUGGAGCAACGCCGCGUGAGUGAAGAAGGUUUUCGGAUCGUAAAGCUCUGUUGUUGGUGAAGAAGGAUAGAGGCAGUAACUGGUCUUUAUUUGACGGUAAUCAACCAGAAAGUCACGGCUAACUACGUGCCAGCUGCCGCGGUAAUACGUAGGUGGCAAGCGUUGUCCGGAUUUAUUGGGCGUAAAGCGAGCGCAGGCGGAAUGAUAAGUCUGAUGUGAAAGCCCACGGCUCAACCGUGGAACUGCAUCGGAAACUGUCAUUCUUGAGUGCAGAAGAGGAGAGUGGAAUUCCAUGUGUAGCGGUGGAAUGCGUAGAUAUAUGGAAGAACACCAGUGGCGAAGGCGGCUCUCUGGUCUGCAACUGACGCUGAGGCUCGAAAGCAUGGGUAGCGAACAGG